rnacentral:rRNA from 1 species
AUUGAACGCUGGCGGCAGGCCUAACACAUGCAAGUCGAACGAGUGGCGGACGGGUGAGUAGUGUCUGGGCAACUGCCUGAUGGAGGGGGAUAACUACUGGAAACGGUAGCUAAUACCGCAUACCAUCGGAUGUGCCCAGAUGGGAUUAGCGAGUAGGUGGGGUAAAGGCUCACCAAGGCGACGAUCCCUAGCUGGUCUGAGAGGAUGACCAGCCACACUGGAACUGAGACACGGCCCAGACUCCUACGGGAGGCAGCAGUGGGGAAUAUUGCACAAUGGGCGAAAGUCUGAUGCAGCAAUGCCGCGUGUAUGAAGAAGGCUUUCGGGUUGUAAAGUACUUUCAGCGGGGAGGCGGUACCCACAGAAGAAGCAACGGCUAACUACGUGCCAGCAGCCGCGGUAAUUC